AUAAAGCAUCCUUGCAACAUAAAAUCAAGCCAAACAUGGGAGAGCCUAUUUGCUCCUAUCACGACCAGGGAGCACCCCCUAGAUGCAAUCGGUGUUAUCAUCCUCGGAGAGGACUAAGACUAGCCUAUUAGCAUUCGUGAAACACUUCAUAUGUUAAAAUGCAUUAAAAAUUAAAAAUUUCUUACAUAUUGAGGUUUUUAUAGACCUCUCGCUUACUAAACAUAUAU
rnacentral:misc_RNA from 1 species